rnacentral:lncRNA from 1 species
AGAAAAUAGUUAUGGGGGGGUGGCUGUGGGUCACCCAUGUCCUCAUGGGUCCCAGUGGGUCCCCGUGGGUCUCUAUGGGUCUCAGUGGGUCCCUGUAGGUCUCUAUGGGUCCCCAUGGGUCUCAGUGGGUCCCUAUGGGUCCCCAUGGGUCUCUAUGGGUCUCAGUGGGUCUCUCUGAGUCUCUGUGGGCCUUUAUGCAUCUCUCUGGGUCCCCGUGGGUUUCUAUGGGUCUCUACGGGUCCCCAUGGGUCUCAGUAGGUCCCUACAGAUCUCUAUGGGUCCCCGUGGCUCUCUAUGGGUCCCUGUGGGUUUCUAUGGAUCCCUGUGGGUUUCUGUGGGUUUUUCUGCAUCUCUAUGGGUCUCUAUGGGUCCCUGUGGGUUUCUAUGGGUCUCUAUGGGUCUUUCUGCAUCUCUAUGGGUCUCUAGGGGUCCCUAUGGGCGUGUAUGGGUCGUUAUGCAUCUCUAUGGGUCUCUAUGUGUCCCCAUGGGUCUCUAUGGGUUCCUAUGGGUCCCUGUGGGUCUCUAUGGGUCUUUAUGCAUCUCUAUGGGUCUCUAUAGGUCUUUAUGCAUCUCUAUGGGUCCCUGUGGGUCCCUAUGGGUCCCCAUGGGUCUCUAUGGGUCCCUGGGGGUUCCUCUGGGUCUUUAUGGGUCUCUAUGGGUCCCUGUAGGUUUCUAUGGGUCUCUAUAGGUCUUUAUGCAUCUCUAUGGGUCUCUAUGUGUCCCUGUGGGUCUCUAUGGGUUCCUACGGGUCCCUGUGGGUCUCUAUGGGUCUUUAUGCAUUUCUAUGGGUCUCUAUGGGUCCCCGUGGGUUUCUAUGGGUCUCUAUGGGUCUUUAUUCAUCUCUAUGGGUCUUUAUGCAUCUCUAUGGGUCCCCAUGGGUCUCUAUAGGUCUCUAUGCAUCUC